GAUGAACGCUGGCGGCGUGCCUAAUACAUGCAAGUCGAGCGAACGGACGAGAAGCUUGCUUUUCUGAUGUUAGCGGCGGACGGGUGAGUAACACGUGGAUAACCUACCUAUAAGACUGGGAUAACUUCGGGAAACCGGAGCUAAUACCGGAUAAUAUUUUGAACCGCAUGGUUCAAAAGUGAAAGACGGUCUUGCUGUCACUUAUAGAUGGAUCCGCGCUGCAUUAGCUAGUUGGUAAGGUAACGGCUUACCAAGGCAACGAUGCAUAGCCGACCUGAGAGGGUGAUCAGCCACACUGGAACUGAGACACGGUCCAGACUCCUACGGGAGGCAGCAGUAGGGAAUCUUCCGCAAUGGGCGAAAGCCUGACGGAGCAACGCCGCGUGAGUGAUGAAGGUCCUCGGAUCGUAAAACUCUGUUAUUAGGGAAGAACAUAUGUGUAAGUAACUGUGCACAUCUUGACGGUACCUAAUCAGAAAGCCACGGCUAACUACGUG
rnacentral:rRNA from 1 species